UUUAUUGCGUCCGUUCUUUUAUUUUUUCUUUCUCUCCUUCAGCAACCAACAGCAUCCAGCACAUGUAAUCCGAAAAGUUGAUCUAUACGCCGAGAGAGAGAGAGAGAAGUUUCCCCUUCUUUCAUUCCUGUCCGUCCGUUUUCUUCUCCAUGCAACAAUGGGCAACAACUCGUGUGUGUGUCUCUCUCUCACACUGUCUCGUCGCUUCUUCUUCUUCUUCUUCUUCGUCAGUGGAGCUGCCCUGUUGCCUAGGAGUCCUCGUCAUUAUUCUUGAUUCGAGAUCGGCAGCUAUACGGACAGUGACAAACUGAAUGGAACUCGAAAAAUAAAGGGGGGGGGGGGACAGAUAGAUGGAACGUGGAAGACCAUGAAGAAACUUUUUAUUUUUGUAAGAAGAAGAAGAAGAAGAAGCCUCUCUUUUGUGUGUGUGUCUGUAUACGUGGAGGACGACGUGGAGUUGACAAAAUGAAACAAUGGCCACGUCACGGAGCCGACUGGAGAACAAGAAGCAAAACCUUCAAAGUUGCUGACUCGAAAAUGUUCUUCGAUUGUGAAAUGAAUUAUAGAUUUAAAAGGAAAUUCAAGCAAGAAGGGAAAACAGAAAAGAAAACCAAACAAGCCCUGGCAUUUAGGAGAAAUAAAUAUGCGUCUAUAUACCCCAACUGCAUACGUAUAUAUCCACAAAGGAUAUUUAUUAGUCCAGACGUCAAGGCGUCCCCCGUCUGAGAAAAAGAGAAGGGCGAGUCGCGCUCCUAUUCGUUCCUCAUGUCGUUUGACGGGUGGUGGUGGCGUUGGUGGUGGUGGGUGGCACGCAUAGGUAUUACACCACUCACCACCGUCGGUUGCCGAUGCACAGUGUCAAGUGGCGACGUCUUGUACGCAAAUCAUCAAGGGAUGUACACUUUUUUGAGCAUCACCCCCUAAGCCGACUGAAUGGGAACGAAAAGGCUUGUAUGCUGCGCAGGUCACGCUAUUCCCAUCUUACACGGAUCCGUACUCGCCGUGGUACCUCAUCACCAUGGAAAUGGCCAGGGCGAGAGAGGCGAUUGUCGGAAUUAGAAAUAGCUCGCGUUUAUCAUUUCCCAGCCAGCAGAAAACAAUCGAGCAGUAUACGUUAUUUUCCCCAUUCGAAUAUAUAUUUGGGGGUAAGGCACAAGUGCUGCAUUCGAAAUCUAACAGCUAAAGUAGCGCACGCUCAGUUGAGUUUAGUAUUUUUUUUUUUCGUUCAAAAGUUAUUCGAUUUCGUUUUCAAUGUAUAACCAGAAUAACUGUUGGCUUUCGGGGGAAAAAAACUUGUCCGUUCUGAAGGGAAUCCCGUUGUGUGUGUGCGGCAAUGAGAAGAAAAACGGCGUGACUCGCUGUCGAUCCUUCCCAAAAAUAAGUUGAGGAAUAUCUUUAGACAUUUGGAUAUGUGUGUGAUCCGUGCUGUAGCCAUUGUUGUGUUGAUUAUAUUCCAAUGGUUCAUCGAUGCUAAUGCCCAUAGUCCCGAAAGGGUUUUCCAUCGUCGCCGGUCUACCUGCUAUAUAUAUAUACUAUAUAUAAUAUUCCGUAAGGAAUAGAAAAAAAGAGGAAAAAUGGGCUCGGCUCCAUCAACCAUCAUCAUCAUCAUCAUCAUUGCCCGUCAUCGAUCUACAAGGCCCGACGGGGUUUUCCAACUCGCUCGAGAUAAAGAGCCGAAACUAUUUAAGAGAAAAACAAAAAGGAAUAAAGAAAAAUUCCUUAGACUCUAUAAUAUCAGAACAACCAUUUGUUUCCAUUCAAAUGUGCAUAUGAAUCGCCCCAUCCGCUAUUGGCACACUUCUAUUUCUAUGUAUCUACUUGUUGCCCUUAAGAAAAAAAAAUUUGUUUUGUUGCGUUUAAAUACAGAUUGUUGUAUUCUUGUUACACGUUUCCAAAAGGCAGACUCUAGUCGUCCAAAUCGAGCAAGAAAAACCCGCGGGAGGGAGACCUGCAUAAUGAACUGAGACGAGGAUGAGGACUUUUUUUUCUUCUUCUUCUUCGGGUUUGGAAAUUCUUUUUCCGCUUUUUUGUUGCUGAACAGAAUAAUACAGAUGCCUCACCUUUAUUUUUCUUCAAAAGAUUUGCCUUUUUUCUUCUUCUUCUUCUUCUUCUUUUCAAUGCGUCUUAUUUUUUUAUUUUUUUGCGUGUUGUUACCCGUUAGGAGAGAGGCGCCAACUCGAUAUAGGUCUCUAAUGAAGGGCCCCGACGCUGCUGCCGUUAAUGAUGAUGAGAGCCAGUGACCUCAUCGCCUAUAAUGGCCCUCCUUCUUCUUCUUCUACUGCUAUAAGAGACGACGACGUUGGCUGCUGCAGCUGCUGCUCGUGGAUGAUGGAACGGACUUUUGGGGAAAUCGGAAGCUCGGCAGGAGCGAAAAAAAAGGGGACCCCGCCCGCUUUGACACGUUGCCAACAAGCCCGAAAGGAAGAAAAAGAAAAAAGAAAAAGUUGUCGAUGGAAAAAGCGCAGCGUUUAUAAUGGCGCGCUGUGGUAUAUAAAAACAACCAACCGUUUCUUGUUGGUCGUCUAUAAAAAUUCAAAAAAGGGACGAAGGGCCUAUACGCACCGCUGUGUCUGUAUGAUCUCACGCCGAUUAUCAUCGCGCCAGCCUCGCUACAUGUGAGCGUCGUUCGACGUCAAGAAGCUGACGCGAUGCAAAAAGGAAGUCGCGGGCGGCUUCUUACAUUUUGUUUUCAUUUUAUUUUUCAAACGGACGGACGCCGAGAAAUCCCGCGUUCAUAUUAUUCCUCAGACUCAGAGGGAGCCGUGUGGGCGUUUUUCUGACUAUAAAAAUGUAUUACUGUAUACUGCCAUCGAGGGCCAUUAAAGUUUUGUUGUUGGUUA